rnacentral:rRNA from 1 species
GACGAACGCUGGCGGCGUGCCUAAUACAUGCAAGUUGAGCGCUGAAGGUUGGUACUUGUACCAACUGGAUGAGCAGCGAACGGGUGAGUAACGCGUGGGGAAUCUGCCUUUGAGCGGGGGACAACAUUUGGAAACGAAUGCUAAUACCGCAUAAAAACUUUAAACACAAGUUUUAAGUUUGAAAGAUGCAAUUGCAUCACUCAAAGAUGAUCCCGCGUUGUAUUAGCUAGUUGGUGAGGUAAAGGCUCACCAAGGCGAUGAUACAUAGCCGACCUGAGAGGGUGAUCGGCCACGUUGGGACUGAGACACGGCCCAAACUCCUACGGGAGGCAGCAGUAGGGAAUCUUCGGCAAUGGACGAAAGUCUGACCGAGCAACGCCGCGUGAGUGAAGAAGGUUUUCGGAUCGUAAAACUCUGUUGGUAGAGAAGAACGUUGGUGAGAGUGGAAAGCUCAGCAAGUGACGGUAACUACCCAGAAAGGGACGGCUAACUACGUG